AAGGCGAGGGAAGAGGACCGGGUCAAGACAACGGAAGCUUAUGGAGAAGAGAAGUUAUAAGCCGUGUCUCCCCUCUCUCAUAAUGGGAAAUGUGAGAUCGCUGGGGAAUAAAAUCGCUGAACUGACUGCGCUUGUCAGGAGUCACAGAACAUUUCGGGAGAGCAGUGUCAUGUGCUUUACUGAGACGUGGCUGAACGAGGACAUACCCAAUCAAAGCAUUUCCAUAGAGAGCUUCCAGACCAUUCCAGCUGACCGGAAUUGCACUGAGACCGAUAAAGGGAUGUACCAACCCGUAUAUGGAGGACAACAUUUUAUGGCAGUCAAGCAGUACACCAUUUAAAAAAGUAAAUUCGCCCUUGUCACUUUGGACUUCAAAGGCUACAUAAGAUCUUUCCAGGAAAAAGAUGCUGGAAAUUCAAGCAACACACAUCAAAGUUGCUGGUGAAUGCAGCAGGCCAGGCAGCAUCUGUAGGAAGAGGUGCAGUCGACAUUUCAGGCCGAGACCCUCCGUCAGGACUAACUGAAGGAAGACAGGUCUCAUCAAGAUCUGGACAUGAGACCUGGAGUAAUGAUAACCGUGACCCGCUGGGCAGAUUUCAUUGAAAACGACUGAAAUCAAAGGAAAUUUCUAAAUUAGUUGAAAUUAGAAACAGGAAUAUGCAAAACAUUACCUACCAAAUUGUUGAAAGAAUAAAUGUCUGAAUAAAAAUGAUUGU